rnacentral:misc_RNA from 1 species
GUCAGAUUCAAUGAUUUCCUGUAGCUGUUAAUGCCUUCAAGAAGUGUAUCCUCCUCAUCACAUUUGACUGGAUGAUUGAUAAAAAGAAUGAAGCAGAGAAAGAAUAGGAGGAGAAGACAGAGUCUUGAAGAAGCCAUUGUUGUCAUAAUUGUUCUGCUGUUGCCGCAGAAUCCAGAUGCGAGAGAGAGUCGGUGAUGGGUCUUAAAGAGAAAGUAGGAGGAUUGUUGCUUUCUUUAGUUCGGUGUUAGUGUUACUGUUCAUCCG